GUUUCGUGAUGAUCCCCAUGCGUGUCAACUGACCCCAGAAUCCUCACCAGGCAUCGGUGUCCAGUGGGCGUUCUGCUUCCUGGUACACUAGCGCCUGUCGAGCUCUGGGGCAAUGAUCAGAGAUUUAAUGGCUGAAAAC